rnacentral:rRNA from 1 species
AUUGAACGCUAGCGGCAUGCUUUACACAUGCAAGUCGAACGAGUGGCGGACGGGUGAGUAAUACAUCGGAACGUGCCCAGUAGCGGGGGAUAACUACCCGAAAGAGUGGCUAAUACCGCAUACUAUUGGAGCGGCCGAUGUCGGAUUAGCUAGUUGGUGGGGUAAAGGCUCACCAAGGCAACGAUCCGUAGCUGGUCUGAGAGGACGACCAGCAACACUGGGACUGAGACACGGCCCAGACUCCUACGGGAGGCAGCAGUGGGGAAUUUUGGACAAUGGGCGCAAGCCUGAUCCAGCCAUCCCGCGUGUAUGAGAAGGCCUUCGGGUUGUAAAGUACUUUUGGCAGAGAAGCGGUAUCUGAAGAAUAAGCACCGGCUAACUACGUGCCAGCAGCCGCGGUAAUAC